rnacentral:rRNA from 1 species
ACGGGAGGCAGCAGUGGGGAAUAUUGGACAAUGGGGGAAACCCUGAUCCAGCGACGCCGCGUGAGUGAAGAAGUAUUUCGGUAUGUAAAGCUCUAUCAGCAAGGAAGAAAAUGACGGUACUUGACUAAGAAGCUCCGGCUAAAUACGUGCCAGCAGCCGCGGUAAUACGUAUGGAGCAAGCGUUAUCCGGAUUUACUGGGUGUAAAGGGAGCGUAGACGGCGAAGCAAGUCUGAAGUGAAAGGACGGGGCUCAACCCUGUGACUGCUUUGGAAACUGUUUUGCUAGAGUGCCGGAGGGGUAAGCGGAAUUCCUAGUGUAGCGGUGAAAUGCGUAGAUAUUAGGAGGAACACCAGUGGCGAAGGCGGCUUACUGGACGGUAACUGACGUUGAGGCUCGAAAGCGUGGGGAGCAAACAGGAUUAGAUACCCUGGUA